rnacentral:rRNA from 1 species
UACGAAGGGGCUAGCGUUGCUCGGAAUCACUGGGCGUAAAGGGUGCGUAGGCGGGUCUUUAAGUCAGGGUGAAAUCCUGGAGCUCAACUCCAGAACUGCCUUUGAUACUGAAGAUCUUGAGUUCGGGAGAGGUGAGUGGAACUGCGAGUGUAGAGGUGAAAUUCGUAGAUAUUCGCAAGAACACCAGUGGCGAAGGCGGCUCACUGGCCCGGUACUGACGCUGAGGUGCGAAAGCGUGGGGAGCAACA